AUUGAACGCUGGCGGCAGGCUUAACACAUGCAAGUCGAACGAGCGGCGGACGGGUGAGUAAUGUCUGGGAAACUGCCUGAUGGAGGGGGAUAACUACUGGAAACGGUAGCUAAUACCGCAUACCAUCGGAUGUGCCCAGAUGGGAUUAGCUAGUAGGUGGGGUAAUGGCUCACCUAGGCGACGAUCCCUAGCUGGUCUGAGAGGAUGACCAGCCACACUGGAACUGUGACACGGUCCAGACUCCUACGGGAGGCAGCAGUGGGGAAUAGUGCACAAUGGGCGCAAGCCUGAUGCAGCCAUGCCGCGUGUGUGAAGAAGGCCUUCGGGUUGUAAAGUACUUUCAGCGGGGAGGCGUUACCCGCAGAAGAAGCACCGGCUAACUCCGUGCCAGCAGCCGCGGUAAUAC
rnacentral:rRNA from 1 species